CUCCACCCCAAUCAGGUUUUUUUUGGCUCCCUCCGUCCCUCUUCUCAAAUCGAUCGAACAUACCAGGUGCAGAGAAAAGGGAAAAAAAAAGAGAGAGCUCUGAACCAGAAUCCCUCUGCCAUUUCCGUCCUCUUCCUUCUUCCUCCACUGUCCUCAAUGUCGCCGGCACCGUGGGUGUGUGGAGAGAUGUAUCCGCCGUUGCUCCGUCAAGGUCGAGACUUCUUUGUUCUCCUGUGCUUCACAUCGUCGAAGUCUUUUCUCCCUCCUUCGUCCGUGUAGCUAUGUAAGUGCAUUAGGAUUAUUUUCUUCCUCUUCCUCUGUUUCAUCGGCAUCGGUCUGCUCUACUCUUCUCUGUGCAUGUCGUCAAUCAAUUCUUCUCCCCUGUUUUGGCGCUGGCGCUGUGCUCUGGGGGCUGGGGAAAAGUUUCGAUCCUCUCCCUCUUCUCGUGUUAUUUGUUCUGCUGGUGUUUGUAGGAGGUGUUAGCCCCGUGCGAAGGUCAACAUACAUGGAAUGGAGACAUGGUAUAAAGAAUCAUGGAUGAAGAUAAAAUUUUAAGAGCAUGAAGAAUCAAGAGAAAAUGAAGAAGUUUAGGAUAAGUAUUUUAAAUUUUUUUAUAUUUAAUGUGAAAACUUAGAUAGUUUAAUCACUUUUCUUAAUCAUUAAAUGAAUGUAUCAUAUGUUUUUUUUAUAUGCAUUAAGACUCAUUUAAGUAUGUUAAAGUUUGCAAAAGUUUGCAAACUUUGGCUCUCUUGCAUAUGGUUUUUCAUAAAAAAAGUUUACAGAGUGAAGAGGUAAAAUCAUGCGUGAUUCUGCCGGUCAUUCAUGAAUUUUUGUAUGUUAGGCAUGUUGACAGUUGGAUCACGCAAGUGUGAAGAAGUGCUUCACACGUGAUUAAACACUUGUGUUGUAUGUUGCCUUAUGCUCUGUCUCGGCAUGCAAAACCACGCAUGAAAGGCUUUAGUGUUCA